ACGGGGUAGUAAUGUGUCGGAACGUGCCCUCUGGACGGGGAUAGCGGCGGGAAACUGCCGGUAAUACCCGAUGAACUCGAGAGAGCAAAGGUGUGAUUCCGCCGGAGGAGCGGCCGACAUGGUAUUAGCUAGUUGGCGGGGUAACGGCCCACCAAGGCUGUGAUGCCUAGGGGAUGUGAGAGCAUGAUCCCCACCAUUGGGACUGAGACACUGCCCAGACACCUACGGGUGGCUGCAGUCGAGAAUCUUCGUCAAUGGGCGAAAGCCUGAACGAGCGACGCCGCGUGUGGGAUGAAGGCCUUUGGGUUGUAAACCACUGUCGAGGGGGAUGAAGGCAUUCAGGUCCUCCUGAAUGUUUGACAGAGCCCUGGAGGAAGCACGGGCUAAGUUCGUGCCAGCAGCCGCGGUAAUACGAACUGUGCGAACGUUAUUCGGAAUCACUGGGCUUACAGGGUGCGUAGGCGGCUUAGCAAGUCAGGUGUGAAAGCCCCCGGCUCAACCGGGGAACUGCGCUUGAAACUGCUGAGCUCGAGUCAGCUAGAGGUACACGGAACUUCCAGUGGAGCGGUGAAAUGUGUUGA
rnacentral:rRNA from 1 species